AAGGUUUCACGCUUCUUGGUCUCAUCCAUGACCUCAUAGGCCAAGCUACAGUGCUAAAGCAAAAACAUGGCUUGUUCAUAACUGGGGUUUCCUGGCAACACUCCUAGGUUGCUCCUUUAAAAACAGGUCACAACU
ensembl:snoRNA